AGAGUUUGAUCAUGGCUCAGGACGAACGCUGGCGGCGUUAACACAUGCAAGUCGAACGGAAAGGCCCUUCGGGGUACUCGAGUGGCGAACGGGUGAGUAACACGUGGGUGAUCUGCCCUGCACUUUGGGAUAAGCCUGGGAAACUGGGUCUAAUACCGAAUACACCUCGCUGGCCGCAUGGUCUGGUGGGGGAAAGCUUUUGCGGUGUGGGAUGGGCCCGCGGCCUAUCAGCUUGUUGGUGGGGUGAUGGCCUACCAAGGCGACGACGGGUAGCCGGCCUGAGAGGGUGACCGGCCACACUGGGACUGAGAUACGGCCCAGACUCCUACGGGAGGCAGCAGUGGGGAAUAUUGCACAAUGGGCGCAAGCCUGAUGCAGCGACGCCGCGUGGGGGAUGACGGCCUUCGGGUUGUAAACCCCUUUCAGCACAGACGAAGCGCGAGUGACGGUAUGUGCAGAAGAAGGACCGGCCAACUACGUGCCAGCAGCCGCGGUAAUACGUAGGGUCCGAGCGUUGUCCGGAAUUACUGGGCGUAAAGAGCUCGUAGGUGGUUUGUCGCGUUGUUCGUGAAAACUCACAGCUCAACUGUGGGCGUGCGGGCGAUACGGGCAGACUAGAGUACUGCAGGGGAGACUGGAAUUCCUGGUGUAGCGGUGGAAUGCGCAGAUAUCAGGAGGAACACCGGUGGCGAAGGCGGGUCUCUGGGCAGUAACUGACGCUGAGGAGCGAAAGCGUGGGGAGCGAACAGGAUUAGAUACCCUAGUAGUCC
rnacentral:rRNA from 1 species